rnacentral:rRNA from 1 species
UACGAAGGGGCUAGCGUUGCUCGGAAUCACUGGGCGUAAAGGGUGCGUAGGCGGGUCUUUAAGUCAGGGUGAAAUCCUGGAGCUCAACUCCAGAACUGCCUUGAUACUGAAGAUCUUGAGUUCGGGAGAGGUGAGUGGAACUGCGAGUGUAGAGGUGAAAUUCGUAGAUAUUCGCAAGAACACCAGUGGCGAAGGCGGCUCACUGGCCCGAGUACUGACGCUGAGGCACGAAAGCGUGGGAGCAACAGGG